rnacentral:ncRNA from 1 species
GUGCAGCACUACGGGCGCUUGUGCCAGCUUUGGAUUUUUUUCCCACCCGAGUCUCUCAUCCACCUCCGCCUCCCGGAAAAGCCAUUUUUCAGACUCAGUGGAGAGAUGAGAGACGGGUGGGGAAAAGGAAGAAGCGAGAAAAGAAAGCACAAUGCUGAGAUUGUACCGUUAAAACUCGAUCAAGUUAAUGCUUGCGUGGGAAACGUGCUGCCGCUUCUAU